CAUCUAUAAUUGUAUCAGAGUAAAAACUUUUUGUCUCCUGAAAUUCAUUAAGUCAUAACUUCAAAGGAAAGAAAGAAUAAAAUUUUAAUCAAGUGUCAUAAAUCAUAACGUUCUUACUGUCACUACAAACGCAAUAACCAUAGCAUAAUUUAAUAAUGAUACACAAAUAAAUAAAAACAGAAGAAUAAUAAAAGAAAAAAAAAGGAAAAUAAGAAAAAUAUAAAUCGUAAACAUGCCGUCCUAUAAAAAAGCUGAUCCAUGCACUGGCGAACGAUCGAAAAAAGUAUUCUCAUGGUGUGAGAUCAUACAACAUGGUAUUAUGUAUUUAUUCUUCUGUGUCAUGAGAAUCAUACCACUGCUCUGCUAUCUCUGUCUUGGAGUCAGUUACAUAAUCUGCCAGAGCGUCUGUUGUUUUGUAUUCUGUUCAUGACUGGUAAAAUAUUUUUUCGAAUGAAUAAAAUGUAUUGAAAUUUA